CUCAACAGGCUCCCAGGAAGGUCCUGUGAACGUUCCCAGCAGCAGUGACAGCAGGUAGGACGCGCUCCACAAAGCCCCAAAGAAGAAGAGCAUCAAGUCCUCCACUGGUCGUUUGUUUGGCAAAAAGGAAAAGGGUCCGCCUGGACAAACUGGCAAAGAAUCACCAAGACAAGGUAGGCCGGUUUUAGGCAGCUGUCCUAACUGCUGGGAUUGGGAGAGCAUGCGCUUUUUCCUAUGUACCUGCCACAGGUGUCCAGUGCCCACAAGGAAUCAUGGCUGAGCAUUCUCCAGACAGCCCAGUCUGCCCACAUGUGAACCAGAGCCGAGCAGUGGACAUUCAUUUGGCGUGAAUGAAUAACCCUCUUAUAUGCUAAUUUAUACACUUGAACAUUUAUAUGUGUUUGCUCGGAAAGCUUACCCUUCAGAAAUGAUUCAGCUCUCUACCUGCAGAAUCUUCUUCCUAUUUGUGAAACAUAUAACUUUGCCAUGUUAAUUUACUCUAAAUUUGGGGGCUUUUCUUCUCUUUUGUAGCCGUUGUUUCUGAAACGGAAAACUCAUCUCAGGAUGCCUUCCAACUUAGCAAAUUGGGAGGAAAGGAUGAAAAAAAUCGUCAACUUCAAAAACACUCAACAGGCUCCCAGGAAGGUCCUGUGAACAAUCCCAGUACCAGUGACAGCAGGCAGGACGCGCUCCACAAAGCCCCAAAGAAGAAGAGCAUCAAGUCCUCCACUGGUCGUUUGUUUGGCAAAAAGAAAAAGGGUCCGCCUGGACAAACUGGCAAAGAAUCACCAAGACAAGGUGGGCCGGUUUUAGGCAGCUGUCCUAACUGCUGGAAUUGGGAGAGCCUGAGAUUUUUCCUAUGUGCCUGCUGCAGGUGUCCAGUGCCCACGAGGAGUCAUGGCUGAGCGUUCUUCUGACAGCCCAGUUUGCCCACAUGUAAAACAAAGCAGAGCAGUGGACAUUCAUUUGGCUUGAAUGAAUAACCCUCUCAUAUGCUAAUUUAUAUGCUUGAACAUUUAUAUGUGUUUGCUCAGAAGCUUACACUUCAGAAAUGAUUCAGCUCUCUACCUGCAGAAUCUUCUUCCUAUUUGUGAAACAUAUAACUUUGCCAUGUUAAUUUACUCUAAAUUUGGUGAAUUUUCUUCUUUUUUGUAGCUCUUGUUUCUGAAACAGAAAACUCAUCUCAGGAUGCCUUCCAACUUAGCAAACUGGGAGGAAAGGAUGAAAAAAAUCGUCAACUUCAAAAACAG
rnacentral:lncRNA from 1 species